GAUGAACGCUGGCGGCGUGCUUAACACAUGCAAGUCGAGCGAGAAGUUUUGAAAAGAUUCUUCGGAUGAAAUUUAAAAUGGAGAGCGGCGGACGGGUGAGUAACGCGUAGGCAACCUGCCCCAUACAAAGGGAUAGCAUUUGGAAACGAAUAUUAAUACCUUAUGAAACUUAACUAGUGCAUGCUAGGUAGGUCAAAGAUUUAUCGGUAUGGGAUGGGCCUGCGUCUGAUUAGCUAGUUGGUGAGGUAACGGCUCACCAAGGCGACGAUCAGUAGCCGACCUGAGAGGGUGAACGGCCACAUUGGAACUGAGACACGGUCCAAACUCCUACGGGAGGCAGCAGUGGGGAAUAUUGCACAAUGGGGGAAACCCUGAUGCAGCAACGCCGCGUGAACGAUGAAGGCCUUUGGGUCGUAAAGUUCUGUUCUAGGUGAUGAAAACUGACAGUAACCUAGGAGAAAGCCCCGGCUAACUCCGUG
rnacentral:rRNA from 1 species